UAAUACGUAGGUGGCAAGCGUUGUCCGGAAUUAUUGGGCGUAAAGAGCAUGUAGGCGGGAAUCUAAGUCUGUUGUGAAAAUGCGGGGCUCAACCCCGUAUUGCGAUGGAAACUGGGUUUCUUGAGUGCAGGAGAGGAAAGGGGAAUUCCCAGUGUAGCGGUGAAAUGCGUAGAUAUUGGGAGGAACACCAGUGGCGAAGGCGCCUUUCUGGACUGUGUCUGACGCUGAGAUGCGAAAGCCAGGGUAGCGAACGGGAUUAGAUACCCCGGUAGUCCUGGCCGUAAACGAUGGGUACUAGGUGUAGGGGGUAUCGACCCCCCCUGUGCCGGAGUUAACGCAAUAAGUACCCCGCCUGGGGAGUACGGCCGCAAGGUUGAAACUUAAAUGAAUUGACGG
rnacentral:rRNA from 1 species